UGGCGGACGGGUGAGUAAUGUCUGGGAAACUGCCUGGUGGAGGGGGAUAACUACUGGAAACGGUAGCUAAUACCGCAUAACGUCGCAAGACCAAAGAGGGGACCUUCGGGCCUCUUGCCAUCGGAUGUGCCCAGAUGGGAUUAGCUAGUAGGUGGGGUAACGGCUCACCUAGGCGACGAUCCCUAGCUGGUCUGAGAGGAUGACCAGCCACACUGGAACUGAGACACGGUCCAG
rnacentral:rRNA from 1 species